rnacentral:rRNA from 1 species
GACGAACCGUGCGAACGUUGGUCGGAAUCACUGGGCUUAAAGGGCGCGUAGGCGGGCCAUAAAGUCAGGGGUGAAAUCCUCCAGCUUAACUGGAGAACUGCCUUUGAUACUGAUGGUCUCGAGUAAGGUAGGGGCAUGCGGAACUGAUGGUGGAGCGGUGAAAUGUGUUGAUAUCAUCAGGAACUCCAGUGGCGAAGGCGGCUACCUGGCCCACUCUUGACGCUGAGGCGCGAAAGCUAGGGGAGCAAACGGG